AAACUGCGAAUGGCUCAUUAUAUAAGUUAUCGUUUAUUUGAUAGUACCUUACUACUUGGAUAACCGUGGUAAUUCUAGAGCUAAUACAUGCUAAAAAUCCCGACUUCGGAAGGGAUGUAUUUAUUAGAUUAAAAACCAAUGCCCUUCGGGGCUCCUUGGUGAUUCAUGAUAACUUCGCGAAUCGCAUGGCCUUGCGCCGGCGAUGGUUCAUUCAAAUUUCUUCCCUAUCAACUUUCGAUGUUUGGGUAUUGGCCAAACAUGGUUGCAACGGGUAACGGAGGGUUAGGGCUCGACCCCGGAGAAGGAGCCUGAGAAACGGCUACUACAUCCAAGGAAGGCAGCAGCGCGCAAAUUACCCAAUCCCGACACGGGGAGGUAGUGACAAUAAAUACUGAUACAGGGCUCUUUAGGGUCUUGUAAUUGGAAUGAGUACAAUUAAAUCCCUUAACGAGGAACAAUUGGAGGGCAAGUCUGGUGCCAGCAGCCGCGGUAAUUCCAGCUCCAAUAGCGUAUAUUAAAGUUGUUGUGGUUAAAAAGCUCGUAGUUGAACCUUGGGCCUGGCUGGCCGGUCCGCCUCACCGCGUGCACUGGUCCGGCCGGGCCUUUCCCUCUGUGGAACCCCAUGCCCUUCACUGGGCGUGGCGGGGAAACAGGACUUUUACUUUGAAAAAAUUAGAGUGCUCCAGGCAGGCCUAUGCUCGAAUACAUUAGCAUGGAAUAAUAAAAUAGGACGUGCGGUUCUAUUUUGUUGGUUUCUAGGACCGCCGUAAUGAUUAAUAGGGACAGUCGGGGGCAUCAGUAUUCAAUUGUCAGAGGUGAAAUUCUUGGAUUUAUUGAAGACUAACUACUGCGAAAGCAUUUGCCAAGGAUGUUUUCAUUAAUCAGGGAACGAAAGUUAGGGGAUCGAAGACGAUCAGAUACCGUCGUAGUCUUAACCGUAAACGAUGCCGACUAGGGAUCGGACGGUGUUAUUACUUGACCCGUUCGGCACCUUACGAGAAAUCAAAGUGCUUGGGCUC
rnacentral:rRNA from 1 species